rnacentral:sRNA from 1 species
AUGCAGUGUCAACAACGCAAGAUGGAAGAUUACUGCAAUCAAAUUCAACUUGCUAUGAUGAACUUCACCCAUGAUGUCAUCAGCGACUUCAUGUACAAAGUGCAAUUGAAAACAUACAAUGAUGGAAGAACUAAAUAUUAAAGAUCUCAAUGGAAUUUUGAGGGAGAAUGGUGUCAGUGUUAAAUCUCUCUCUGUUAAAUCAAAAAUAUUAAAACUAUGUAGUAUUUUAAAAAUUCCCUCAUAACUUAAGGAAAUGAUGCAAGUUCUGAUAUUGUUAAAAUACCCUCUGUCACAAUAAACAAAAGAAAAAAUU